AAUCAAAUACGAAUCCGAGUCUUUGCGCCUAAGGUUUCUACGGCGUUCAGGCCAGGGUAUGUCUGGAAACGGGCAUGCCUUCCAGUGUGAAAAGGAUUAAUCAAACCCGCCAA
rnacentral:ncRNA from 2 species